rnacentral:lncRNA from 1 species
CCCGUGGUUUUGUAUUUUCUCAUUUUAGUACUCUAUACUUUAAAGUAUAUCAAUUUAGUAUUAUGUGGCUUCAUUUUUUUCUUUUUGUUGGCUCCUCUAUUAACAUUUCGUUAAAUUAUAUACAAAAAAACUUUAGAUACCCCAUCUAAAUUUAUUGAGUAUUCACUUUAGUAUCUUUUAGUUUUAAUUUUGUCACUGAUUUAACGAAAAAAAAUUAGUGGAUGGGAUAAUAAAAAGAGAAAAAUAAAACGGCGACGGUACUAAAUUAAUACAUUUUAAACCAUAAGGGACUAAAAUAAAAAAGCGUGAAACCACAUGGGUGGCAUUUGAAGUUUUUUCCUUUUUAAUUUUGGGUUAAUUUCAUAUAGAUCCUGCAAAUAUAGUGAAUUGUAAGUAUAUCCCUAAAAGUUCAACUUUCAUACGUUGUUUCUAUAAAAGUUCUAAUAUUUUCAAUAGGUCUCUACCGUUAGAAUCCGUUAAAAAAUUUUUGUUAACCAUAGGUUAAAUACUUAAUCCAGGUCGGUUUAUGAGAUAACUUGACAUUUUUGCCCCUCUUAUAUUAUACUGUUGUGGUUUUUGGAGGGACAUAUUUGUGAUGACCAAAUUGAUAUUUCACUAAAAUAUAAAUAAUUUUAUAACGGUAACAAACCAGAGGGAUAUUUUUGAAAACAUUAAAACUUUGCGCAGGGAUAAUAUAUGAAAGUUGAAUUUUGUAGAGAUAUAUUUAUAAUUCACUACGUUUGUAGGGAUAUGUAUGAAAUUAACCCUUUAAUUUUUCAAUCAUUUGGUGUUAAAAAAAAACUAAAUUACAAAAAAUCUCCUUAUAAAUACUCAUUUAUCACUUUCCCUCCCUAAUUUUCAAAAACCUAUAUUUUACGCUCUCGAUAUUUUAAAUUGUUGCAUUUAGACCCCUCCAUCAGAAUUCAAUCACUAUUUCGAUCAUUUUUUAUAGUUUAUACUAAAAAUGCCCUUCAAAUGACAUAAAUAUAUUAAAAAUUAUUUUUUCUUACGGAAGAAGUAAGGACAAUUUGGUUAUUUUGCUCUUUUCAUUUAACACCGUACCCUCCUGAAAAUAAUUUUUAAAUUUUAAGGAGGCAACAUGUAGGUUUUUGAAAAUUAGAGAGGGAAAGUAAAAAAAAACAGAUAUUUACAGAAAUUUUUUUUAUAAUUUAGCCUAAAAAAAAUUAUCUAUAUACCUCUCAAAACUUCUCAAAUAUCUUAUAUAGUACUUUUUUUUUUGUUUCAAACAUAUCUUUCCUAUGUUUUUCUCCGUUAUUUAAAAAAUAUCCCAGCUGUUAAUACCCGUUAAGUCAUCUCAGGUUAAACUCGAAUUAAAUUUCUAACAGAGUUAAAAAAAAAAAUCAAAAUCCUUCUUUUGUUGCUAACUAAAGGAUAAACAAAAAAAAUUGGUGACAGUAGAAAAGUAUAUUUGAAAGAAAAAAAAAGUCAAAAUAUUUCUUUUGUCGCUAACUUUAAGGACAAAUAAAAAAGUUGCUGUUGGUAAAAAGGUAUAUUAGAAAAGACAAAAUAGUAAUUUUUAAAGAUAACGACAGUUUCUAAUAAUUCAUUAACAGUAUUUAACUUUCCAGAUAUAUUUGAAAGAAUUUAUAAUGUUAAAAUAGUAUUUUCUAUAUUAGCCUUUUAAGAGGGGUAAAUAAGAAAGUUUAAAACUUUUCAGGGGUCUACAUGCAAUUGCUCCUUGUUUUUUUCUAUAUUUUUAGGUCACGAUAUCAAUGAAAUAUAUUAUUAGUGCUUUUUCGAAUAACUUUACUUAAUAAUAUAGAAUAUCUCCAGAAGCUCUAACCAGGCCAAAC